CCUACGGGUGGCAGCAGUGGGGAAUAUUGGGCAAUGGACGCAAGUCUGACCCAGCAACGCCGCGUGAAGGAAGAAGGCUUUCGGGUUGUAAACUUCUUUUAAGGGGGAAGAGCAGAAGACGGUACCCCUUGAAUAGCCUAGGCUUAAUACGUUCCAGCAGGCGCGGUAAUACGUAGGUGGCCAGAGGUGUCCGGGUUUACUGGGUGUAAAGGGCGUGGAGUCGGGGAGACAAGUCAGAUGUGAAAUCCACGGGCUCAACCCGGUAACUGCAUUUGAAACUGUUUCCCUGGAGUGUAGGAGAGGUAAUCGGAAUUCCUGGUGUAGCGGUGAAAUGCGUAGAUAUUAGGAAGAACACCAGUGGCGAAGGCGGAUUACUGGACGAUAACUGACGGUGAGGCGCGAAAGCGUGGGGAGCAAACAGGAUUAGAUACCCGAGUUGUC
rnacentral:rRNA from 1 species